rnacentral:lncRNA from 1 species
GUUUUACUACAAUUACUUGAAAUGCGUUUGGAUAACAUCCUUUUUCGAUUGGGUAUGGCUUCCACUAUUCCCGCAGCCCGUCAAUUAGUUAACCAUCGACAUAUUUUAGUUAAUGGUCAUAUAGUAGAUAUACCGAGUUAUCGCUGCAAACCCCGAGAUAUUAUUACGGCAAAGGAUGAACAAAAAUCCAGAGCUCUGAUUCAAAUUUCUCUCGAUUCAUCCCCUCAUGAGGAAUUACCAAAUCAUUUGACCCUUCAGCCAUUCCAAUAUAAAGGAUUAGUCAAUCAAAUAAUAGAUAGUAAAUGGGUCGGUUUGAAAAUAAAUGAAUUGCUAGUCGUAGAAUAUUAUUCUCGUCAGACUUAAACCUCAGACUUAAACCAAGGGUUCGCAAAAAUUUCUUCCCUUUAGGCGAAGUAAAUUAACCCAAGGUUAAGUAAGUUAAGUAAGAUCAAUCCGAGUUUGAUCUAGAUUUCCCCCAUUUUUGUAUCAUAGACCAAGGAUCUAUUUUCAUUCCUUGUCUAUUCUUUUCUUUCCAGUAUUUUGAUUAUGAUUAUUUUUGAGUAUUCUAUUUUACGCGUCACAGCAAUUAGGAAUUGAGAAUCUAUAUCUUUAGAUCAAAGAAGGGUCUAGCUGUUGGAAUAAUGGUAUACAAUGCUAUUUGAGUCCUUGUUGUUAGUAAAAUUGGUGAAUUAAGCGAAGGUACGGAAAGAGAGGGAUUCGAACCCUCGGUAAACAAAAGCCUACAUAGCAGUUCCAAUGCUACGCCUUGAACCACUCGGCCAUCUCUCCUACAUAAUGAUUAUGACCCCAAAACCGAGUGAAUAGCGAGUCAGUCAUAAUCCAUAUUCCAUUAUUGGAUAGGUACGACCAAUCCAUUUUAACUGAAAAUUUGUCAUCAAAGUCAAAGCAAAGAACGGUUUUUCUUUCCUUCGAGGCUCCGGGAUAAAGAUACAAUUUUUACGAAAAAUUGUUCAAAAAAAUUCAAUUCAUGUUUGCAAAAACAACGUUCCCUUCUUUUUCUGAUAUUUUUCUAUUUUUAUAACGGAUUAAUUCAAUGAAUUAGAACGAAUCAACUGAUUGAUGGUCUAUAUCUUUUAGACUAUAGUUAAUGGAUACUCUUAAAUCAUAACUGUAAUUAUAAUUAUAUAGACUAUGAUUCCAUACCAGAAAAUUUUUUUAAUUCCUUUUCGGUUUUGGAGUUCUCAACAACAAAUACCUACCCCUCUAUUAGAAUAGAAAUUCAUCAAAAAUUUAGAUUCGAUUGUAUAGUGUAUACCCGUUAUGUACACAAAAUUGGCAGUUAUUCUAUUUUCAUCAUAGAAUGAUUAGUCGAUCUUUUUUCUUCUUUGUAAUUUGUAUCAUGAUUCAAUCAAAAUUUCUCGAGUUCUUCUAAUUUGUAACUUCACCGAAAUCGGAAUAGUUCCUAUACUACUACAUUAGUAUGAAAUCGAAUCGCGUUGAAAUAUUUCUUAUUUCUUAUUUCUUCUCGAUUCCUGUCAAAAAGGAACAAUUGGAAUAGAGGAUUCAUAUCUUUUGUUUUUUUGUUAAAAAAAAGAAGUUUUUAUGUUAUUUCGUACUAUACAAUUCUUUUCUUUGUGGGAUCUUUUUCCCACGAGAGGUAAUGAAAAGAAUUCUAGAAUGGAUUGCUACCUAUGCCUAGAUCACGGAUAAAUGGAAAUUUUAUUGAUAAGACCUUUUCAAUUGUAGCCGAUAUCUUAUUACGAGUAAUUCCGACAACUUCCGGAGAAAAAGAGGCAUUUACCUAUUACAGAGAUGGUGCGAUUUGAUUCUUUUUUUUUUGAUUUUAUAUUUAUUCAUUUCUCUCAGUCUUACGAGGAGAAAAACACAUGAUUCGAGAAAAAAAAUCUACGCUUUUUGAAGGUGAAGUUUGGAAAUAGAACAAUUCCUUCUGUCGUGUAUCCUCGAUUAAUGCAACCUCAGAUGCUAUGUUUCAAUUAUAGAUUCUAGUAUUAAGCGAAAGGUUACGCCUAGAGGUUCUGUAUUACGGGUCAAUCCUACUCUACUAGCGCUAAUAGGCAGCAUAGGGGAAGAAGCGCUACACCUAGGAAUCAACAACACGAAAACUUUGUUCUAAGUCAGCCCUUUUCUUAGCGGGCUUGGGACUAAAAGAAUGGUUGGGACAACAAACAUCCAUCUCGUUCGUCCUUUGGAUACCCGUAUAACCAUCGAAGGCUAUUGAAGUGACUAAUUCCUGGAAAUUAGGAGGCGUUAAAAACAAAAAAAUUGUGGGAGUUAUCUUAUCAUUUCUAUCUAGUCCCAAUAGGCUUGAUGUUAAGAAAGAAUCUCUUGCAGGAAGGUUGGCUAGAGAUUUCUUGUAAAAACACUAGCCCUGCUGAGUUCAUAAUGAGAAUAUUUUCAUCGUUGAAUCUUUUUUGAUUCUAUGUAUUAUUCUCAUUAUGCACAUAAGGGAGGAGCCGUAUGAGGUGAAAAUCUCACGUACGGUUCUGGAACGGAGAUUCUUUCAAUUGAAUGACGACCG